rnacentral:rRNA from 1 species
AGAGUUUGAUCCUGGCUCAGGAUGAACGCUAGCUACAGGCUUAACACAUGCAAGUCGAGGGGCAGCGAGAAGAAAGCUUGCUUUCUUUGUCGGCGACCGGCGCACGGGUGAGUAACGCGUAUCCAACCUUCCCCUUAGUAGGGCAUAGCCCGGCGAAAGUCGGAUUAAUACCCUAUGUUAUCCGAAGAGGACAUCUGAAUUGGAUUAAAGAUUUAUCGCUAAGGGAUGGGGAUGCGUCUGAUUAGGUAGUAGGCGGGGUAACGGCCCACCUAGCCUACGAUCAGUAGGGGUUCUGAGAGGAAGGUCCCCCACAUUGGAACUGAGACACGGUCCAAACUCCUACGGGAGGCAGCAGUGAGGAAUAUUGGUCAAUGGACGAGAGUCUGAACCAGCCAAGUAGCGUGCAGGAUGACGGCCCUAUGGGUUGUAAACUGCUUUUAUACGGGGAUAAAGUGAGGGACGUGUCCCUUUUUGUAGGUACCGUAUGAAUAAGGACCGGCUAAUUCCGUGCCAGCAGCCGCGGUAAUACGGAAGGUCCGGGCGUUAUCCGGAUUUAUUGGGUUUAAAGGGAGCGCAGGCUGAUUGUUAAGCGUGACGUGAAAUGUAGCCGCUCAACGGCUGAACUGCGUCGCGAACUGGCAGUCUUGAGUGAGUACGACGUCAGCGGAAUUCGUGGUGUAGCGGUGAAAUGCUUAGAUAUCACGAAGAACCCCGAUUGCGAAGGCAGCUGACGAGUCCUUUACUGACGCUAAAGCUCGAAGGUGCGGGUAUCGAACAGGAUUAGAUACCCUGGUAGUCCGCACGGUAAACGAUGGAUGCCCGCUGUUGGCGAUACAAUGUCAGCGGCCAAGCGAAAGCGUUAAGCAUCCCACCUGGGGAGUACGCCGGCAACGGUGAAACUCAAAGGAAUUGACGGGGGCCCGCACAAGCGGAGGAACAUGUGGUUUAAUUCGAUGAUACGCGAGGAACCUUACCCGGGCUUGAACUGCACAGGAAGGAUACAGAGAUGUUGACGCCCUUCGGGGCCGCUGUGGAGGUGCUGCAUGGUUGUCGUCAGCUCGUGCCGUGAGGUGUCGGCUUAAGUGCCAUAACGAGCGCAACCCCUUUCGUCAGUUGCCAUCAGGUCAAGCUGGGCACUCUGGCGACACUGCCACCGUAAGGUGUGAGGAAGGUGGGGAUGACGUCAAAUCAGCACGGCCCUUACGUCCGGGGCUACACACGUGUUACAAUGGGUGGUACAGAGAGUCGGCCGCUGGCAAUGGCGGUCCAAUCAUCAAAGCCAUCCUCAGUUCGGAUUGGGGUCUGCAACCCGACCCCAUGAAGCUGGAUUCGCUAGUAAUCGCGCAUCAGCCAUGGCGCGGUGAAUACGUUCCCGGGCCUUGCACACACCGCCCGUCA